rnacentral:sRNA from 2 species
CGCGCCGUCAUUGGGGAGUAGCCGCCCUCCGGCGUUCGGGAGGGGUGCGUGUCAACAUGCUCGGUCGAAAGAUCGUGGUGCGCACGGGUUUCAGAUCUGGCAAGACCUUUGACCCUGCCGCCGCCAUUCAUGGCCGGGGAGGCGCAGGGUCAUCGGUAUGGACCGGCCUGGAACC